UGCGAAGGGGGCGAGCGUUGUUCGGAUUUACUGGGCGUAAAGGGCGCGCAGGCGGUCUUGAAAGUCAGGCGUGAAAGCCCCGGGCUUAACCUGGGAAUUGCGCUUGAUACUCUGAGACUGGAGUACGGGAGAGGAGAGUGGAAUUCCCAGUGUAGAGGUGAAAUUCGUAGAUAUUGGGAAGAACACCAGUGGCGAAGGCGGCUCUCUGGACCGUAACUGACGCUGAGGCGCGAAAGCGUGGGGAGCAAACAGG
rnacentral:rRNA from 1 species